AAAGGACCAGCCAUUUUGCUUAUGGAAAACAGUGUGACAUAUUAUGCUGUGCUUUACCACAGAAUAAACAAAAAUCUAUUCGCAGGAAACCGAAGAAACAGGCAUAUUAGUGAAUAAUUAUUACAGCUGAGCGUGCCCUCAAGAUGCCAUUUUGACAAGCUGGUGGCUGCUGCUGCCACGAGCUGAUCUGCGAGGGUGGAAUGCAGUGUGAUAAUGCUGCAUAUCUGCUAACAGCAGUGGAGUAGGAUUUUUGACUUGUAAAGGCAAGGUUUCUUUGCAACGUUAUCUCAACAGCUCGCUAGCUGCUCAGAGUGAAAGCUGCUGACCCAAAAGAAGGGUGUUGCCCUCUCUCAACAUUGUUCUUGUGCACUGCUGUUUUAUAUGAGCAGGCGCUGCUGAAGAAGCAGGUGUGCAGUUCAGAUGGGCUCUGUAUUGUAGGCUGUACAAACCAGGUUUACAUGCUUCCUAUUAAAAGAUUGUUGGCUUAGGAGCAUCUGCCUGUGGACUUAUUCCUAGAAGGAGGCUACCGUACAUCUCAGCUUAUGUGAAAGAGAUUCCUGUAUUUGACUUAAACUUAAACCUUUGGAGUGCAAACCUUCAAAAAAGGCUAAAUAAACAAGAUCUGCAUGUACAAGGGCAGAAGCACUUACUUCCUCUGCACUUGAGAAACAGCCAAGCUGGUCCGUCCGGAAAACUGAAGACUUUUAUAACAAAACCUCCAGUGUCAAAAUGAAUACAGGUAUGCUGUUUCUGUGAGAUUUUUCUUUACUUAACACACUUUGAUAA